AUUGAACGCUGGCGGCAUGCUUUACACAUGCAAGUCGAACGGUAACAGGCCGCAAGGUGCUGACGAGUGGCGAACGGGUGAGUAAUGCAUCGGAACGUGCCCAGUCGUGGGGGAUAACUAUCUGAAAGUAUAGCUAAUACCGCAUACGAUCUUCGGAUGAAAGCGGGGGACCUUCGGGCCUCGCGCGAUUGGCGCGGCCGAUGUCAGAUUAGGUAGUUGGUGGGGUAAAGGCUCACCAAGCCAACGAUCUGUAGCUGGUCUGAGAGGACGACCAGCCACACUGGGACUGAGACACGGCCCAGACUCCUACGGGAGGCAGCAGUGGGGAAUUUUGGACAAUGAGCGCAAGCCUGAUCCAGCAAUGCCGCGUGCAGGAAGAAGGCCUUCGGGUUGUAAACUGCUUUUGUACGGAACGAAACGGCUCUGGUUAAUACCUGGGGCUAAUGACGGUAUCGUAAGAAUAAGCACCGGCUAACUACGUGCCAGCCGCCGCCGUAA
rnacentral:rRNA from 1 species